rnacentral:rRNA from 1 species
GAUGAACGCUGGCGGCGUGCCUAAUACAUGCAAGUCGAGCGAACGGACGAGAAGCUUGCUUCUCUGAUGUUAGCGGCGGACGGGUGAGUAACACGUGGAUAACCUACCUAUAAGACUGGGAUAACUUCGGGAAACCGGAGCUAAUACCGGAUAAUAUUUUGCACCUCAUUGUUCAAGAGUUAAAUACGCUCUUGCUGUCACUUAUAGCUUGAUCCGCGCUGCAUUCGCUAGUUGGUAAGGUAACGGCUUACCAAGGCAACGAUGCAUAGCCGACCUGAGAGGGUGAUCGGCCACACUGGAACUGAGACACGGUCCAGACUCCGACGGGAGGCAGCAGUAGGGAAUCUUACGCAAUGGGCGAAAGCCUGACGGAGCAACGCCGCGUGAGUGAUGAAGGUCUUCGGAUCGUAAAACUCUGUUAUUAGGGAAGAACAUAUGUGUAAGUAACUGUGCACAUCUUGACGGUACCUAAUCAGAAAGCCACGGCUAACUACGUG